rnacentral:miRNA from 1 species
UGUUCUGUUAGGGGGCUUAAAGG